UACGUAGGGUGCAAGCGUUAAUCGGAAUUACUGGGCGUAAAGCGUGCGCAGGCGGUUCGUUGUGUCGGCGGUGAAAGCCCCGGGCUUAACCUGGGAAUGGCCGUUGAAACUGGCGAACUGGAGUGUGGCAGAGGGGGGGUGGAAUUCCGCGUGUAGCAGUGAAAUGCGUAGAGAUGCGGAGGAACACCCGAUGGCGAAGGCAGCCCCCCUGGGCUAACACUGACGCUCAGGCACGAAAGCGUGGGGAGCAAACAGG
rnacentral:rRNA from 1 species